rnacentral:rRNA from 1 species
GACGAACGCUGGCGGCGUGCCUAAUACAUGCAAGUUGAGCGCUGAAGGUUGGUACUUGUACCAACUGGAUGAGCAGCGAACGGGUGAGUAACGCGUGGGGAAUCUGCCUUUGAGCGGGGGACAACAUUUGGAAACGAAUGCUAAUACCGCAUAAAAACUUUAAACACAAGUUUUAAGUUUGAAAGAUGCAAUUGCAUCACUCAAAGAUGAUCCCGCGUUGUAUUAGCUAGUUGGUGAGGUAAAGGCUCACCAAGGCGAUGAUACAUAGCCGACCUGAGAGGGUGAUCGGCCACAUUGGGACUGAGACACGGCCCAAACUCCUACGGGAGGCAGCAGUAGGGAAUCUUCGGAAAUGGACGAAAGUCUGACCGAGCAACGCCGCGUGAGUGAAGAAGGUUGUCGGAUCGUAAAACUCUGUUGGUAGAGAAGAACGUUGGUGAGAGUGGAAAGCUCAUCAAGUGACGGUAACUACCCAGAAAGGGACGGCUAACUACGUG